rnacentral:lncRNA from 1 species
AGCUUUUUAAAUAGGUUUUUAUUGAAAUGGUUAUAUUAGCAAAUCCCACACAUACAGGUAUACACUAUCGGCAUGUAGGUAUAUACCAUACCAUUUCACUACUUAUUUAUACUUACAUUAACCAUACAGACCUAGGCACUGUGCUGCCCAGGAGAUUUCAAAGGGCUUAUAAGAUCUGAUUGCCAAGAAAUCAGCUCACAUUCUACUUGCAGGUAUCUAUGUUCUAGACAAGGUAAAUCCCCCUACUGUGAGCCCCCAAAUUAAGCAAAUGAUUGAUUUUACUUUUUGGCUAUUUGAUGUGUGUUCUUUCUGGCAGAAGCUAUCCAUUGGUGAAUUAAAAUUCAAGUGCAUAGUCUCCCUUUCAUUCCUCGAGGUGGAAGGGAAGUCAUUUGCCACAUUUAAGUAUAUCCCAAGCCUCCCCCACCCCAGAUUACCUGUGCUAGUUAGAAAAAUAGUUUUGUAUGCCAUCCUCUGAGAUGUUGUGCAUAGUUAUCAGGAACUCAGGAUAAGAGGAGCUCUGUGAAUGAUCCAAAUAUGAAAGGGGUAACUUUAAUAUUUUCUAUGAGUAUAAAAGCUACUGAGGGUAAAAAGCAACUGUGACAUAUGUAGCCUACAGUCUGGACCAACUCCUUUUCUUGUGCAGUAACAGGACUGUUCUAGCAGGUGAGGCCAUUCCCUGUACCCCAAAUAGCAUUUCCUAGGUUGGAGUCUUUUCCUGUUUCUGUGAUCAAACUGGUCAAGUUUCUUAGACAGAGCCAUGGCCACUUGGGAGGCAACCUUGCUUCUUAUUCUCACUUUGAGACUCAGCUUUCGAUUCUGGCCCCAAGCACCUGCCAAGGAGGCCCCUCUUCCACCUAGGCCAGCAAGCCAGGGGGAUGAAGGACACAGGAUGGCAUGUGUCAUUUCACGUGGGGCACCCAUUAUAGGUGCUGGGAUGCUGGCACUGGCCACAGCUGGUGACUUAGUCCACACAGCAUGCUGGCAGUCCGUAGGCAGUUAACCUGCUUAGGAACAGCUUACUUGAGUGAAGGGAAAGAAAUGGCCUCGGUAUUAGAGUCUACCUACCCCAACCCCACCUUUUGUUUUUACAGACAUCUCUGCUCAAUAUCUACCCAUCACUAUAAUAGUCCUUUAAUAGCACACAGUGUAAAUACACUGGGGCAUAGUUGUGGAUGAAUGAUAAUUCUGAAAACAAAUUAGGAUUCACUUAGUGUUGAGUUACAUUUGUGAAAAUAUAGCUCAGAACCAUCAUCUGUAGCUUUUGACAGUUGCCAGUGGCUCUACAGAGAGCUGGACAGAGAAGGCGAUCAUCCGAGGAGGGGUAGGCUGCUGCUGAAGGCCAGCCGGGCUUGCAGAUGAGCAACCUACGGGGAUCUUCCCAGCACCCAUGCCCACCCAAGUAGAUAACAGCAUACUGGUGGGAGAUAACCAUUUCAGGCCAGCAUUCUGCUGGGAAGGAACCCCUGAGGCUGUGUCCCAGAGGAUUAAAGAUCCACUGCAGCAGAGGAAAGGGUGCUAAUGACAUCCUCCAGUGCUCAGCUUUUCCACCUAAGGAGGAUGUGUGUGGUUUGUAAAUGGUGCUUACCCUGAUCUUGACUACCACCCUGGGCUGGUGCACUAGAGCUCUGGCAGCUGUGUCUGGGCCCCCAGCCACACUCCCUAGGCCUGCUGUUCCAGAGAAAGUCAUUUAUUUUGUGAUGCCAAGCCAGGUCCAUGCCGCCCUGGAACCUCUGUCUUUUGUGGUACAUCCAUGUAGAAGAUUCAAAGGGAGGAAGUAGGAAGGCCCAGUAUGGAGGUCUGGGUGAUUCCAGCAGCACUGAAUCCUUCUGAAAGUUUAAUACUCAAGUUUGCAUAUAGUCCAAAGUUAAAAAAGUUUUGUUUUCUUUUUUAUCUUAAAGUCUCACGUCAGAGUGAAGAAAACAACAAAUGGCUUCAACUAGAGUGACCUGCAAGAGGUAAAAGCCCAGACAAGUCCUCGGCCUUGGACUUGGGGCCUCCACAGAGCCUUGUUAGAGCUUAGGAGCCAAGUCCUGGGGAUAGGCAUGUGGCCCCUGGAGCUCCGACCUCCCACAGUCACUGGGGGCCAGUGGGGAACACAGGUGGCUACUGUCAUUUCUUUCCUGCAAGGAACUCGCCAGCCUCUCUUCUUUAAGGCUCAGUUUGUUGGGCUCUUGCAAGGCACCCCUAAGAAAGAUGGCAAACCUCCUGACUUGACCUGCACCCCAGAGGAACCCCCCCGGGGGAGAAACCUUUCCCCCUUUGCCACGUCUGGCGCUUCCUGCUGUUUUCCUGACAGUAAGGAAAGCAAACCCACGCAGCCAACGCUGGCGACUCCCCUCCUUAUCCUUCCUUCGUAUGUUUCCCAGUCCUGCUGAAAUCUCCUUGGAUGUUAU